CCCUCGGUUCAUGAUUCAGUAAUAUUCCGUGCAAUACUUUCCUACCCCUUCUGCGGAAAAUGAAACGGAAAUCCAUCGAACAGAUCGAUAAGCAAAGUUUUUAACAUCUUCCCUACAGAUGAUAGCAUAUGACAUCGUGAUCAAGCGCCAUCUAAACGAAAAAGUAUUGUCAAAAAUACAGCCAACAUUAAUUUUGGGUGCAUAUAUGUUAGUAAGUCCAUAAUUGCUAAGUAAAACCUGAGAGCUUAUCUAAUCUAUUUAAAGAUAGUAAAUGAAAAAUCCUCAGAGCCGUAGUUAACAAAAUGAGAAAUGAUGGUAGACCAUUUGAUAGACUUAAUUGUUGUAUGUGACGAACGAUCGUGGUGGCUUUGAAGUGAAUAUGGCGAGUCUGACGUUAAGGGUAGUUGAUUAAAUGCUAGCUCCAAUGCUAGCACAUACUAUAACUUAAUUAUUUGUUAUUUUUAGUAUAAUUAUUGCUUAUUUUAUGAAUAAGUACAUUAAUUCAAUGAAAGCAUUAUUGAAAUUUUGAUCGAACUUAUGAAGCGGUAGGGAGUGGGAACACGAUAAGUAUAAAUUACAAAUAUCCACAGCAUCCAGCCACUGAAUUGUUCUCAAGAUCUUGCGAUGCUUCUUCUUUCAUACUUCUGUGGAGCUAUUUCUGAAAGAGGCAAAGCGCGAGUAUAAAAGGAGGUGCAUCAUAAAAGAUUCGAUACUAUCGAAUUGACAGUAACGAACUGUUGCCAAUGUUUUGAGAGCUUUUUCAUACUCAUAUCAUUUCUAUUACGCACGCGUGGUUAAUCAUGUUCGAAAUUGUCACGAGAUCUUAUUGAUUCUAUUCUUCUUUCAAAAAAUUUCAGUAACAUUUUAAUUAUUACGAAUUAUCCGUAUUUAUCUCAUAUAUCCUAUCCCUUAAAUAUUUCAAUCACAUUUGUAUAAGCUCUAUAAAUACAUUGAAAAUGCAGUCAAUGUAUAUUGUACGCGUGCAGUUUGUCUUAUGUUUAUAAUUAAAUUCAACUUUUGUACGGUCUACUUAGAAUAGUGCAACAAUACAAGUGAAACAGAUCGAGAAAUAUAAAAUGUUUAUUUCCGAAUGAAAAUUCGCAACUUGGUAUCAACAACUUCUAUUAUCGUAUGUAUGUAUAAACGUCUGUAUUUACAACGUAUAUUACUAUAAAGGAUUUUUAGCGUUGAA